rnacentral:lncRNA from 1 species
GUCUGUACCACUGAAAAUGGUUUUUGGCAGGUGUAUGGGAUCUGUUAGGUCAGGGCCUGAACCAGUGAUUGAGCACCUGGUGAAGGGGUGUAGCCAGCCCCGGGAGCACAGGUGGAAGCAAUUCACUUGUGUGACCUACGGUCCACCCCUCCCUAACCUCAUUUAACGACUGGCAGCCGCAAGAGAAGUAUCUCUAGUUGGAGAUCACCUCCUUUGGAGCGUUGGGUGAGCUCUGAACCUCAGAAAGGGGAAAAAAGAGUGAAACAGUCGCUGACGUGUCCAAUCUUAAGAUAUGAAGGGACAGUCCAGAGUAAUCAGUAGUGACCUUCAGACAGCAUAGAUGGCGCUACCUGGCACAGCUGCAUCAUGUAACUCCCUUCCUCAAAACAAGCCUCAAGAGAACAGCAGACCCCAGUCUCACUCCAGGUUCACUUGCUGAGUGACUGAUCUGGUCUU